ACGGGUGAGUAAUACAUCGGAACGUACCCUGGAGUGGGGGAUAGCCCGGCGAAAGCCGGAUUAAUACCGCAUACGCUCUGAGGAGGAAAGCGGGGGACCUUCGGGCCUCGCGCUCAAGGGGCGGCCGAUGGCGGAUUAGGUAGUUGGUGGGGUAAAGGCCUACCAAGCCGACGAUCCGUAGCUGGUCUGAGAGGACGACCAGCCACACUGGGACUGAGACACGGCCCAGACUCCUACGGGAGGCAGCAGUGGGGAAUUUUGGACAAUGGGGGCAACCCUGAUCCAGCAAUGCCGCGUGUGUGAAGAAGGCCUUCGGGUUGUAAAGCACUUUUGUCCGGAAAGAAAUCAUCGGGGCCAAUACCCCUGGUGGAUGACGGUACCGGAAGAAUAAGCACCGGCUAACUACGUGCCAGCAGCCGCGGUAAUACGUAGGGUGCGAGCGUUAAUCGGAAUUACUGGGCGUAAAGCGUGCGCAGGCGGUGCUGUAAGACCGAUGUGAAAUCCCCGGGCUUAACCUGGGAACUGCAUUGGUGACUGCAGCGCUGGAGUAUGGCAGAGGGGGGUGGAAUUCCACGU
rnacentral:rRNA from 1 species